rnacentral:misc_RNA from 1 species
UUAGGAUCUAAAUCAAACUCGACCAAAACCAAGACCUAAACCAAAAUUGUGAGGGCUUCAUGGUACCAGUUCCGGGUCGGUUCUAACGGGAACUGGCUCGGUGGCCUGGUCUAACUUCAUGCAGGUUCUCAUCAAUUGUAUCACAAGAAUGAAGAAAAUGUCAAGCCAUAUCAACAAUCUCAUUAGCUAAAAAAGUUGUGCACCAAUUGCCAAACACAGUUUAAAUUUAUAAAUAUAUCCAUUUUUGGGUCUAUUGUUUUUCCUUUUAGGAAAAAUAGAGUUAAAAGCACUCCCACAGUCUACUAUCGUUUUAGGCUCCAAUCUUUGGACUGAUAACCCUUUUGAAUGAAGCCAUUCUCAUUCAUGUAUUCAACAAAUUCAUCUAUAAGAUGAGGCCAAGCUCCAUCAACAUCAUAAUUUGAUAAUGUGAAGUCCACUGUCUGCACAAGAGAGAAAAAAAAAAAAGUUAACAGUUAUGAAAGAUGAGCACGCAGGACACAUAUACCUUUGAACACUCAUAAGAACAAUAUUCCAUGCUCCCUUUGCUGAUUAAAUCUAAUUAGAAAACAAUUCUAUUAACACAUUGUAAUUGUAUUAGACAAUUAAUUGUGUUAACCACUAAAAAAAAUGAGUAAUGAUUAUAAUGGUCAAAUUGUGGUGAUGGUGGUGGGAGGCGGCAAUGUUAUGGAACAAUUCCAGAAAUCAAGAAGACAGAGGAAGAAUCACAGAAACAUUAACUUAAGAGAGAGAAGAAACACAUUUUAUUCAUAGCAUUCAAGAAUGAGGGUUUUUGGUUACAUUCGCAGCUCAUAUCACCUGCCUACUGAAACUAACAUAUUUAUAAUUCUCUUCCCUAAAACAUGCUAAGCCUUACACGUGCCUCUCUCACAUAACUUCCUAACAACUCAGCUGGAGAUCACAUUCCCACAAGUUCAUCGUAUCAAUUCCUUAAAUUGCUGCACACCUGGUUCAUAUCAGGCAAUGAGGUGGCUGUCAAAAUAAAGCUUGGGGGAGGUGCUGGUGGUAGUGAUGAAAUUGGAUCCUCAUAGGUGGAUGUGGACUAUAUUAACGUGAUAAUGAAGCCAAAAAUGAUGGUAGUGAUAUAGGUGAUCAAGUGAUUGCAGUUGUGAUAAUGGUGGUUGGCAAUCAUUGUUGUAGUGGUGGCGUUAUGCAGUCCUGCCAAGUGAAUCGUGAAGGAAGAGGCUGUGGUAAAAGUUGUUACAGAAUAGGAAGUUGUUGCACAACAGGAAUCAAAUUGAUAGAGAUAGACGCUGUAUAUCUUCCUAAUUAGUUAGCAUGAAUUUAGGAAGAACUGUGUAAUAUAUCUGUAAUCAUUAUUUAUGAAAAACAUCAAUUUUUCUGCUCCGAUAACAUGGUAUCAGAGCAAUAAUUUCAAAGGGGCAAAAAAAAACAUAUUUUGUUUCUCUGUUAUGGUACCUAACACUGCUGCCUUUUCUAGGUCAGCCAUCUAGGGUACAGAUCAGAGUGCUACCGUUGAAUCAGAGUAUAAAGCCAUGGCACAAUCUAUAUGUGAAGUAAUAUGGAUAUCUCUAAGUAACUAGAUGAGGUUGGUCUUAAGACCUCCUACCAGCUAAGUUAUAGUGUGAUAAUCAAGCUACUCUUCAUAUUACUUCUAGUUGUGUUUCUCCAGCGAACUAAACAUAUUAAGAUUAAUUAUCACUUCAUUCAUGAAACAAUUCAAUAGAAAAUUAUCUAAACAAGACACACCAAGAUUAGAGAACAGUUGAGAGAUACCUUCACAAAAGCUCUAAGCAGAGCUUAGGUUGAUUAAAUUUGUAACAAACUAGGCGUAAUUAAUAUCUAUGCUCCAGCUUGAGGGGGAGCAUUACAAAAUAGGAAGUUGUUGUAUAAUACGAAUCAAAUGGAUAGAGAUAAACAUUGUACAUCUUCCUGAUUAGUUAGCAUAAAUUUAGGAAGAAUUGUGUAUAUAUAUCUAUAAUCAUUAUUUAUGGAAAACAUCAAUUUUUCUGCUCUACUAACAAAAAUAAUAAAUGUGCAUGUAUUUUUCAAUUGGGAAAGCAGUAGAAACUAGUGAAGUUUUAUGCAGAAAAAUAAUAGAAAAUAUUUUCUCAACAUCAGCAUAAAUUUGGAACCUAAAAAACAUAUUUUCUGAAAACUGUUUUCUGGAAAUUAGGAAAACUAUUCCAUUUGAUUAAAAAAAAUAAACUGAAAAAUUUUACAUAAAAAUUUUCCACAAAUAAACAAGUUGAAAGUUCCCAAUUUUCAUUUAGGAUGUCAUAUUUAAAAAUAAAACAUUGAUUUCUACUAUUCCCAGAAAAACUUUCAGGAAAACAGCUCAAAUCCUUCGCAAUUGACACCUCCUUCUCCCUGGAAAAGAAUUUUUACAUUCAUAAGGAAGAGUACUUUCACCUUGUAUCCCUCUUUAACAUCUUUUGCAGAGGGAAGAACAAAUGAGUUUUUGAAGAUGAGGAAAGUUCUCUACGCACGAUUGCAACCCCUUGGCACUCAUUAAUCAUCUUUUUAUAUUAUGAGAGAAAAAAGGAAAAAGUUGUAAUUUGAUGGUUUGCGUCAUACCUUGGUAAAUUCCAAUAAUUGAGACCAAGUAUCCCUAGAGAUCGCUUUAUUAUGCCGAGCCUGCAAAAACUGGCACCAGUGAUCAACUAAUGGCCAUUGUUUUUCAGCAAACAGCAGUUGCCACAUUCCAAUAGCUGUAUCCAAUGCCAGAGAUUUUUGACCCUUUUCUUUUGCCCAACCAAAAGCAAAGUUGUAGAUCUCACAAAACUUUUGUUCAUCUUUAAGCUCAGAUCGCAUGAAUGGCAUCGUCUCACGAAACUUCUCCAAAGAAUCUAUCCCUAAUGCUCUUAAUCCACCAAUGAAUUCCUGCUUGGAGAAUUCACACAUGGUGGCAGCCUUCAUGUGCCAUGAAACAACUAGCAUAACUAUAUCUUGAGGAUCCACCUGGAGGUCAUUGCAAAGUAGAGUGAUCCCAUCAACCAGUAUCAUAUCAACAUAAGGAUCUUUAUAUCUGCUGUAAAGCUUCUCCAAAUUUCUGGAAUCAGUGAACGUUUUAAUAUGGGCUUGGUUAUAGAAGACAUCAAAUGCUCCAUCAAGAUGCCAAUCUCUGCCCCUUAAAGCUUGAACAUUGGCACUUGGCAUAGACAUAGUAGCUCCGUCUUCUUCCUCCUCAUGAAAUUUCUUCUUGGACCUCUUGGAAAACUUGAGAUUUGAAGGAUUCAUCGUCUAAUCUUCUCCCUAAUCUUCAAGAUUUCAUGAUAUUUUUGAGGUGCCCCGGUUGAUGGCCUUCCUUUCUAUUCUAUUCUCUGCCCUUAUUUCACAACCUUGGCAAAAAGGCAAGGUAGUUAAAUU